UACGUAGGGUGCAAGCGUUAAUCGGAAUUACUGGGCGUAAAGCGUGCGCAGGCGGUUUUGUAAGUUUGUCGUGAAAUCCCCGGGCUCAACCUGGGAAUGGCGAUGAAGACUGCAAGGCUAGAGUUUGGCAGAGGGGGGUAGAAUUCCACGUGUAGCAGUGAAAUGCGUAGAUAUGUGGAGGAACACCGAUGGCGAAGGCAGCCCCCUGGGUCAAAACUGACGCUCAUGCACGAAAGCGUGGGGGAGCAAACAGG
rnacentral:rRNA from 1 species